GUUUUAAACAUGAAACCGCGGAAAGCUCAUUAUAACAGCUAUAGACUACACGGUAAAUAUUUUAGUNGGAUAACCGAUGUAAUUCUUGAGCUAAUACACGCUUUUUAUACCACAUUAGUGGUGCGUGGAUUUGAUGAAACCAUUUUUUCGGUUGACUCAAAAUAUCCUUGCUGAUUUUGGUAUUAAAACAUACCGUAUGUGUAUCUGGUUUAUCAACUUUCGAUGGUAGGGUAUUGGCCUACCAUGGUUGUGACGGAUAACGGAGAAUUAGGGUUCGACUCCGGAUAGGGAGCCUGAUAAACGGCUCCACAUCCAAGGAANGCAGCAGG
rnacentral:rRNA from 1 species